GACAGAGGGGGCAAGCGUUGCUCGGAAUCACUGGGCGUAAAGGGCGCGUAGGCGGCCACCGCAAGUCGACUGUGAAAUCUCCGGGCUUAACCCGGAAAGGUCAGCCGAUACUGCGGGGCUAGAGUGCAGAAGGGGCAACUGGAAUUCUCGGUGUAGCGGUGAAAUGCGUAGAUAUCGAGAGGAACACCUGCGGCGAAGGCGGGUUGCUGGGCUGACACUGACGCUGAGGCGCGAAAGCUAGGGGAGCGAACGGG
rnacentral:rRNA from 1 species